rnacentral:sRNA from 1 species
CGGCGUUCGAAUUGUAGUCUG